UACGGAGGGGGCUAGCGUUGUUCGGAAUUACUGGGCGUAAAGCGCACGUAGGCGGACUGUUAAGUCGGGGGUGAAAUCCUGGAGCUCAACUCCAGAACUGCCUUUGAUACUGAAAGUCUUGAGUAUGGGAGAGGUGAGUGGAACUGCGAGUGUAGAGGUGAAAUUCGUAGAUAUUCGCAAGAACACCAGUGGCGAAGGCGGCUCACUGGCCCUAACUGACGCUGAGGCACGAAAGCGUGGGGAGCAACAGG
rnacentral:rRNA from 1 species